AGAGUUUGAUCAUGGCUCAGGAUGAACGCUGGCGGCGUGCUUAACACAUGCAAGUCGAACGAGGUCCAUGGAGCUUGCUCCGGAAGACCUAGUGGCGAACGGGUGCGUAACACGUGAGAAACCUGCCCCGAUCUCUGGAAUAACAGUUGGAAACGACUGCUAAUACCGGAUGCCGUCUCACCGCUUCAUGGCGGAGUGACGAAAGAUUCAUCGGAUCGGGAGGGUCUCGCGGCCUAUCAGCUAGUUGGAGAGGUAACGGCUCACCAAGGCAUCGACGGGUAGCUGGUCUGAGAGGAUGAUCAGCCACACUGGGACUGAGACACGGCCCAGACUCCUACGGGAGGCAGCAGUGGGGAAUCUUGCACAAUGGGCGAAAGCCUGAUGCAGCAACGCCGCGUGCGGGAAGAAGGCCCUAGGGUUGUAAACCGCUUUCAGUAGGGAAGAAAAUGACGGUACCUACAGAAGAAGGUGCGGCCAACUACGUGCCAGCAGCCGCGGUGACACGUAGGCACCAAGCGUUAUCCGGAUUUAUUGGGCGUAAAGAGCUCGUAGGCGGUUCGGUAAGUCGGGUGUGAAAACUCUGGGCUCAACCCAGAGAGGCCACCCGAUACUGCUGUGACUAGAGUGCGGUAGGGGAGCGGGGAAUUCAUGGUGUAGCGGUGAAAUGCGCGAUAUCAUGAGGAACACCAGCGGCGAAGCGCCGCUCUGGGCCGUAACUGACGCUGAGGAGCGAAAGCAUGGGUAGCAAACAGGAUUAGAUACCCUAGUAGUCC
rnacentral:rRNA from 1 species